UAGGUGGACAGCAAAGAAAUGGAUGCCCAGGCUGCGCACGAAGCGACCUACUCCGCAUUGAUGACCGCAUUGGCAGGAACCAACAUCAUCUAUGGACCG
rnacentral:ncRNA from 1 species